CCUACGGGUGGCAGCAGUGGGGGAUAUUGCACAAUGGGGGAAACCCUGAUGCAGCGACGCCGCGUGUGGGAAGACGGUCCUCUGGAUUGUAAACCACUGUCCCCAGGGACGAAGAUGACGGUACCUGGGGAGUAAGCUCCGGCUAACUACGUGCCAGCAGCCGCGGUCAUACGUAGGGAGCGAGCGUUGUCCGGAAUUACUGGGUGUAAGGGGCGCGUAGGCGGGGAUGCAAGUUGGGUGUCAAGACUACCGGCUCAACUGGUAGUCGCCCUCAAAACUGCAGCGCUUGAGUGAAGUAGAGGCAGGCGGAAUUCCUAGUGUAGCGGUGAAAUGCGUAGAUAUUAGGAGGAACACCAGUGGCGAAGGCGGCCUGCUGGGCUUUAACUGACGCUGAGGCUCGAAAGUGUGGGGAGCAAACAGGAUUAGAUACCCGAGGAGUC
rnacentral:rRNA from 1 species